UACGUAGGGCGCAAGCGUUGUCCGGAAUUAUUGGGCGUAAAGAGCUCGUAGGCGGCUUGUCACGUCGGGUGUGAAAGCCCGGGGCUUAACCCCGGGUCUGCAUUCGAUACGGGCAAGCUAGAGUGUGGUAGGGGAGAUCGGAAUUCCUGGUGUAGCGGUGAAAUGCGCAGAUAUCAGGAGGAACACCAAUGGCGAAGGCAGCUCGCUGGAACGGUACUGACGCUGUGGCGCGAAAGCGUGGGGAGCGAACAGG
rnacentral:rRNA from 1 species